UACGAAGGGUGCAAACGUUGCUCGGAAUUAUUGGGCGUAAAGGGCUCGUAGGCGGCCAACUAAGUCGGAUGUGAAAUCCCCAGGCUUAACCUGGGAACUGCAUCCGAUACUGGAUGGCUUGAAUUCGGGAGAGGGAUGCAGAAUUCCAGGUGUAGCGGUGAAAUGCGUAGAUAUCUGGAGGAAUACCGGUGGCGAAGGCGGCAUCCUGGACCGACAUUGACGCUGAGGAGCGAAAGCUAGGGGAGCAAACGGG
rnacentral:rRNA from 1 species